UUUCCGUAGGUGAACCUGCGGAAGGAUCAUUCAUAAUAAAGUGUUUUAUGGCCCUUUUUAAAAAUCCAUAUCCACCUUGUGUGCAAUGUUAGAUCUCGUCAAUCUUGGCGAGAUUUUUAUACAUCAACUCAUUUUUUAACUAAUUUGUCUGAAAAAUAUUAUGAAUACUUAAUUCAAAAUACAACUUUCAACAACGGAUCUCUUGGCUCUC
rnacentral:misc_RNA from 1 species